UACGUAGGGUGCGAGCGUUGUCCGGAAUUACUGGGCGUAAAGAGCUCGUAGGUGGUUUGUCGCGUUGUCCGUGAAAACUCACAACUCAAUUGUGGGCGUGCGGGCGAUACGGGCAGACUGGAGUACUGCAGGGGAGACUGGAAUUCCUGGUGUAGCGGUGGAAUGCGCAGAUAUCAGGAGGAACACCGGUGGCGAAGGCGGGUCUCUGGGCAGUAACUGACGUGGAGGAGCGAAAAGCGUGGGGAGCGAACGG
rnacentral:rRNA from 1 species